GUCUUCUUGUUUAUUUGGGAAGUCAGGCCUGCCCGGUGAUGGUUUUAACGGCCGCGGUAUUUUGACCGUGCAAAGGUAGCAUAAUCAUUAGUCUUUUAAUAUGAGGCUGGAAUGAAGGGUUUAAUGAAACAAUAACUGUCUCAUUUAAAUAACUUGAACUUAAUUUUUAAGUUAAAAAGCUUAAAUUUUUUUGGUGGACGAGAAGACCCUAUAGAGCUUUACAUUUAUUUAUUUAUUAAUUUUUGGUUAAUUAUUAAUUAUUAUUUUAUUAAUGUUUGGUUGGGGUGACGGAAAUAUAAAUUUAGCUUUUUUAUUUUAUGUACAUUGAUAUAUGGAUACUUGACCCAGUAAUAUUGGUUAGUAGAUUAAGUUACCUUAGGGAUAACAGCGUAAUCUUUUUUUGGAGUUCUUAUUUACAAAAAGGUUUGCGACCUCGAUGUUGGAUUAAGAUGAUUGUUUGGUGUAGCAGCUUUAUUAAUAGGUCUGUUCGACCUUUAAAUUCUUACAUGAUCUGAGUUCAGACCGG
rnacentral:rRNA from 1 species